rnacentral:rRNA from 1 species
CCCUUAGACGUUCUGGGCCGCACGCGCGCUACACUGACGGAGCCAGCGAGCUUUUCCUUAACCGAGAGGUUUGGGUAAUCUUGUGAAACUCCGUCGUGCUGGGGAUAGAGCAUUGUAAUUAUUGCCCUUCAACGAGGAAUUCCUAGUAAGCGCAAGUCAUCAGCUUGCGUUGAUUACGUCCCUGCCCUUUGUACACACCGCCCGUCGCUAGUACCGAUUGAAUGGCUUAGUGAGGCUUCAGGAUUUGCUUAGAUCGAGGGGCAACUCUCUUUCAGAGCGGAGAAUCUAGUCAAACUUGGUCAUUUAGAGGAACUAAAAGUCGUAACA